rnacentral:lncRNA from 1 species
UCUAAACCAGUUUAUCACUUUCUCUAAUCCGGAAAAUCAUUUUUCUUAUCGAUUUCUCUUGGGACAAAUUCCGGAUAACCGGAUUGUCCAAAUCGGUGAGCCGCAUCAUCUUUGGUUGCUCUCGGAUCAAUAUUCGGAUAACCGGAUUAUCAAUCCGGAAAACCGGAUUCGCAUAUGGCAUUCACUGGAUUGAACCGGACAGCCGGUUAUGUAAAUCCGGAAAACCGGAUUCGAGUGAAGGACUUGCUGGUCACAACCGGAUUUCCGGUUCAAGCCUAACCGGCAAGCCGUUUACGGGUUUGGCUGAUUUUGUUUUGCUUCUCCUUCCUUCGUUAUUUUUCUGCACUUGUUCUUCCUCUCUCUCAAAACCGUGAGCCACCCUCUUCCAUUUCCAAUCAAUUCCUCUUCAUUUCUCAACCAUUUGUAUGCCAAGAUCAAUCUCUUAAACCAUUACCCAUGCAUUUCAUCUUCAUUAAACACUUCUCCAUCAUGAUUUCUUCACUUGUUUUUCAUCAUUUCAUCAUCAUCUCUCACGCGUGAACAGUAACUCUCCAUUUCUCUCUCAAAAUUCUUCAUCUUUCACUCAUUUUCUUGUAAAAAUCAAUCAUACAACUCAUUAUUCAUCCAUUACUCCUUCAAUUUUCGUUCUCAAAACUUCAUUUCAUCAACUCUCCACAUAAAACCCAAAAUCAAAAACCUAACUACCCGUUUCUCUCUCUAUAUUUUCAAGCUUCCUUUAGCCCAUUUUUUAUCCAAUCUACAUCAUAUAUUAGCUUCAUUCAUCUCUAGGAUCGAUUUUCUUGG